GGGAAUUUUCCGCAAUGGGCGAAAGCCUGACGGAGCAACGCCGCGUGAGGGAUGAAGGCCUCUGGGCUGUAAACCUCUUUUAUCAAGGAAGAAGAUCUGACGGUACUUGAUGAAUAAGCCACGGCUAAUUCCGUGCCAGCAGCCGCGGUAAUACGGGAGUGGCAAGCGUUAUCCGGAAUUAUUGGGCGUAAAGCGUCCGCAGGCGGCCCUUCAAGUCUGCUGUUAAAAAGCGGAGCUUAACUCCAUCAUGGCAGUGGAAACUGUUGGGCUUGAGUGUGGUAGGGGCAGAGGGAAUUCCCGGUGUAGCGGUGAAAUGCGUAGAUAUCGGGAAGAACACCAGUGGCGAAGGCGCUCUGCUGGGCCAUAACUGACGCUCAUGGACGAAAGCCAGGGGAGCGAAAGGGAUUAGAUACCCCUGUAGUCA
rnacentral:rRNA from 1 species